UUUGGCAUCUUUCUUGCGCUCUUUGAUGGCAUUGCCGACCGCAUGCAACAGGUGGGUCUUGCCCAAACCGGUACCGCCAUA
rnacentral:antisense_RNA from 1 species